rnacentral:sRNA from 1 species
AGCAGCCGCGGUAAUUCCAGCUCCAAUAGCGUAUAUUAAAGUUGUUGCAGUUAAAAAGCUCGUAGUUGAAUUUCGGGACCAAUAUGUUGGUCGUGCCUCGGUACGCACUGGCAUUAUUGGUUUCUCCCUUCUGACGAACUACGAUGCCAUUAAUUUGGUGUCGUAGGGAAUCAGGACUGUUACUUUGAAAAAAUUAGAGUGUUUAAAGCAGGCUCGCGCUUGAAUACAUUAGCAUGGAAUAAUGAAAUAGGACGUUUGAUUCUAUUUUGUUGGUUUCUAGGAUUCGACGUAAUGAUUAAUAGGGAUAGUUGGGGGC